CCCACUAUGCUUAGCAGUAAACCCAGGUAGCACACCAAGCCCACUACCCGCCAGAGAACUACAAGUGAACAACUUAAAACUCAAAGGACUUGACGGUGCCCCACAUCCCCCUAGAGGAGCCUGUCCUAUAAUCGAUGACCCACGUUACACCCUACCUGCCCUUGCAAGUCCCAGCCUAUAUACCGCCGCCCACAGCCCGCCUUACAACAGCACCAACAGCGAGCCCAAUAGCCACCACUAACACGCCAGGUCAAGGUGUAGCUAACGCGCAGGAAGAGAUGGGCUACAUUUUCUACUAGUAGAAAACAACCCCCCGCACCAUGAAACUGGUGCCAAAAGGUGGAUUUAGAAGUAAACCGCGCAAAAUGCCCGAUGA
rnacentral:rRNA from 1 species